rnacentral:misc_RNA from 1 species
ACAAACUUGGUCAUUUAGAGGAAGUAAAAGUCGUAACAAGGUUUCCGUAGGUGAACCUGCGGAAGGAUCAUUACAAAUCCAUCCAUCACGUCUCUACCCGAGACCACGUUGAAAUGUUGUGUGCUGUCACAGUGCGGGUGCACGUGGCGUGGCGGCAGCAGCGCGCGCACGACAAACAGCGGCGAGGGGGGGCCAGAUUCCCCCUGUCCGCUUGCCUUGUCGUGUCGUCGUCGUUGCUGCGCCUGCCUGCCCGUGCCCCAACGUGCACAAACGAGUUGAUAUUGUUGUCCAAGUGUAUUGUGUUUUCGAACCUCAGUACAACUUAUAACAAUGGAUCUCUAGGCUCUUGCAUCGAUGAAGAACGCAGC